UCUCCGGGAUGUUCCAAUAGAUCCUGCUGACCCUUCACUAUGUACUCAGAAGGGAUCUGAGGAGAUCCAGUAACUGAGAGA
ensembl:snoRNA SNORD62 Small nucleolar RNA SNORD62